UACGUAGGGGGCAAGCGUUGUCCGGAAUCAUUGGGCGUAAAGAGCGUGUAGGCGGCCAGAAAAGUCCGCUGUGAAAACUCGAGGCUCAACUUCGAGCUGUCGGUGGAAACUUUCUGGCUAGAGUCCGGAAGAGGAGAAUGGAACUCCUGGUGUAGCGGUGAAAUGCGCAGAUAUCAGGAAGAACACCCGUGGCGAAGGCGGUUCUCUGGGACGGUACUGACGCUGAGACGCGAAAGCGUGGGGAGCGAACAGG
rnacentral:rRNA from 1 species